rnacentral:rRNA from 15 species
GAUACAUUUUCAACGAGUCGAGUUGUUUGGGAAUGCAGCUCAAAAUGGGUGGUGAAUUCCAUCUAAAGCUAAAUAUUGGCGAGAGACCGAUAGCGAACAAGUACCGUGAGGGAAAGAUGAAAAGCACUUUGGAAAGAGAGUUAAACAGUACGUGAAAUUGCUGAAAGGGAAACGCUUGAAGUCAGUCGC